rnacentral:rRNA from 1 species
UCGGGGCGCAGCAGGCGCGAAAACUUUGCAAUACACGAAAGUGUGACAGGGUCAUCCCGAGUGCCGACCGCUGAGGUUGGCUUUUACCCAGUCUAGAAAGCUGGGGGAAUAAGGAGAGGGCAAGUCUGGUGUCAGCCGCCGCGGUAAUACCAGCUCUCCGAGUGGUGUGGACGUUUAUUGGGCCUAAAGCAUCCGUAGCUGGCUGAACAAGUCCCCUGUUAAACCCACCGAUUUAAUCGUUGGUCUGCGGGGGAUACUGCUCGGCUAGGGGACGAGAGAGGCAGGCGGUAUUCUCGGGGUAGGGGUGAAAUCCUAUAAUCCCGGGAAGACCACCAGUGGCGAAGGCUGCCUGCUAGAGCGCGCCCGACGGUGAGGGAUGAAAGCUGGGGGAGCGAACCGGAUUAGAUACCCGGGUAGUCCCAGCUGUAAACGAUGCAGACUAGGUGUUUGGACGGCCACGUGCCGUUCUAGUGCCGCAGGGAAGCUGUUAAGUCUGCCGCCUGGGGAGUACGAUCGCAAGAUUGAAACUUAAAGGAAUUGGCGGGGGAGCAC